GCUUCGGUAGCUCAGCGGUAGAGCGUGAGAUUCUUACAGUCCCCUCUGACCGGGUAAGAUUCUUGAGGUUGUGGGUUCGACUCCCGCCUGAAGCA